UACGUAGGGCGCAAGCGUUAUCCGGAAUUAUUGGGCGUAAAGAGCUCGUAGGCGGUUCCUUAAGUCUGAUGUGAAAGCCCCCGGCUCAACCGGGGAGGGUCAUUGGAAACUGGGGAACUUGAGUGCAGAAGAGAAGAGCGGAAUUCCACGUGUAGCGGUGAAAUGCGUAGAGAUGUGGAGGAACACCAGUGGCGAAGGCGGCUCUUUGGUCUGUAACUGACGCUGAGGCGCGAAAGCGUGGGGAGCAAACAGG
rnacentral:rRNA from 1 species